rnacentral:rRNA from 1 species
GACGAACGCUGGCGGCGUGCUUAACACAUGCAAGUCGAACGGAAAGGCCCUGCCUUUGUUGGGUACUCGAGUGGCGAACGGGUGAGUAACACGUGGGUAACCUGCCCUGGACUUUGGGAUAACUUCGGGAAACUGGGGCUAAUACCGGAUAGGAGCUCCUGCUGGAUGGUGGGGGUUGGAAAUUUUCGGCGGUUGGGGAUGGACUCGCGGCUGAUCAGCUUGUUGGUGGGGUAGUGGCUUACCAAGGCUUUGACGGGUAGCCGGCCUGGGAGGGUGACCGGCCACAUUGGGACUGAGAUACGGCCCAGACUCCUACGGGAGGAAGCAGUGGGGAAUAUUGCAAAAUGGGCGGAAGCCUGAUGCAGCAACGCCGCGUGCGGGAUGACGGCCUUCGGGUUGUAACCCCCUUUCGCAUGUGACGAAGCGUGAGUGACGGUAAUGGGUAAAGAAGCACCGGCUAACUACGUG